rnacentral:rRNA from 1 species
AGAUGUACACGUUAGUGAAACUUGUACACCAAGCUUUCUUUAAAAGACCUCGUAUCAGGCAAGACUACCCGCUGAACUUAAGCAUAUCAAUAAGCGGAGGAAAAGAAACCAACAGGGAUUGCCCUAGUAACGGCGAGUGAAGCGGCAAAAGCCCAAAUUUGAAAUCCUCUUUUGAGGAGUUGUAAUUUGGAGAUGGAGUGCUGGACUCAGCUCUGUGGAAGUUGGCUGGAAAGCCGCGCCUUGGAGGGUGAUAGCCCCGUGCCACGGAGGUCCUGUGUCUGUGUAGUACUCUUUCUACGAGUCGCGUUGUUUGGGAAUGCAGCGCUAAGUGGGUGGUAAAUUCCAUCUAAGGCUAAAUAUUGGCGAGAGACCGAUAGCGAACAAGUACUGUAAAGGAAAGAUGAAAAGCACUUUGAAAAGAGAGUGAAAUAGCACGUGAAAUCGUUGAAGUGGAAGGGCUUAAAGCUACACACCUUCUUCGGAAGGGGCUAACAUCAGUUUUGCCGGAUGGAUAAAUGGUAAAGAAAGUGGCAUUUUCGGAUGUGUUAUAGCUUUAUCAAAUACAUCCCGGCGGGAUUGAGGACCGCGCUUUAUGCAAGGAUGUUGGCGUAAUGGUUUUAAGCCACCCGUCUUGAAACACGGACCAAGGAGUCUAUUGCUCAUGCGAGUGUUUGGGUGUUAAACUCGCAACGCGAAAUGAAAGUGAA